UGCAGUCGGCGUGCUAUACAUGCAGUCGAGCGGACAGGAUGGGAGCUUGCUCCCUGAAGUCAGCGGCGGACGGGUGAGUAACACGUGGGCAACCUGCCUGUAAGACUGGGAUAACUCCGGGAAACCGGGGCUAAUACCGGAUAACUCUUUUCCUCACAUGAGGAAAAGCUGAAAGAUGGUUUCGGCUAUCACUUACAGAUGGGCCCGCGGCGCAUUAGCUAGUUGGUGAGGUAACGGCUCACCAAGGCCACGAUGCGUAGCCGACCUGAGAGGGUGAUCGGCCACACUGGGACUGAGACACGGCCCAGACUCCUACGGGAGGCAGCAGUAGGGAAUCUUCCGCAAUGGACGAAAGUCUGACGGAGCAACGCCGCGUGAGUGAUGAAGGUUUUCGGAUCGUAAAACUCUGUUGUCAGGGAAGAACAAGUACCGGAGUAACUGCCGGUACCUUGACGGUACCUGACCAGAAAGCCACGGCUAACUACGUGCCAGCAGCCGCGGUAAU
rnacentral:rRNA from 1 species